UGAAAUUCACUCCCGCGAUUGACAAGUGC
rnacentral:sRNA from 1 species